rnacentral:rRNA from 1 species
UACACUCCUGCGGGAGGCAGCAGUGGGGAAUAUUGCACAAUGGGCGCAAGCCUGAUGCAGCCAUGCCGCGUGUAUGAAGAAGGCCUUCGGGUUGUAAAGUACUUUCAGCGGGGAGGAAGGCGAUAAGGUUAAUAACCUUGUUGAUUGACGUUACCCGCAGAAGAAGCACCGGCUAACUCCGUGCCAGCAGCCGCGGUAAUACGGAGGGUGCAAGCGUUAAUCGGAAUUACUGGGCGUAAAGCGCACGCAGGCGGUCUGUCAAGUCGGAUGUGAAAUCCCCGGGCUCAACCUGGGAACUGCAUUCGAAACUGGCAGGCUAGAGUCUUGUAGAGGGGGGUAGAAUUCCAGGUGUAGCGGUGAAAUGCGUAGAGAUCUGGAGGAAUACCGGUGGCGAAGGCGGCCCCCUGGACAAAGACUGACGCUCAGGUGCGAAAGCGUGGGGAGCAAACAGGAUUAGAAACCCCUGUAGUCC